rnacentral:lncRNA from 1 species
UGCGGGAACGGCGCUUCCGCGCGUGGGCAACCCGGAGCAGAGCCCCCUGGCAGCAACCACCCGAGACCUUUACUGUAGGGUCAGGGCGCCAGAGAGCUAAGGACCAAAAGUCCUGGCCUGUACCAAAGAGCCUGCGAAGUGCCAGUUAAGGUGUGACAUGGUCGCUCUUGUGCCUACUGAAUACCCAUAAUACAGAGGACCACCGACUGCGUCCCAGAGGUCGCACCUGAGGGGGUCCCUACCACACCCAUUAUGUCUGUCCAGGUCAAUUCUCCCAUGGGACAGAGGCACACUGGCAAACAUGGACAUCGGAUCUCCCACGGGACAGUGGUACACUGGCAAACAUGGACAUCAGAGCAGGCGUGUAGGGGUCCUGGCCAGUUGCAUCAGCUUACUGGACUGCUGUAACUACUAAAUUAAUGUGUUUGAGAUCAGAGUUUGGAAAAUAUAAACAAACAUAAGCAACUCUUGGGCAGCAGAGCCAGACACGGCUGGCUACAGCUCUGAAGCCUCGUGGUUUUAGAACACAAGAUUAAUUUAAUUUGUACGACUGCAGCUCCUCAUCUCUCUGCCUU